GACGAACGCUGGCGGCGUGCUUAACACAUGCAAGUCGAACGGAAAGGCCCUGCUUUUGUGGGGUGCUCGAGUGGCGAACGGGUGAGUAACACGUGAGUAACCUGCCCUUGACUUUGGGAUAACUUCAGGAAACUGGGGCUAAUACCGGAUAGGAGCUCCUGCUGCAUGGGGGGGGUUGGAAAGUUUCGGCGGUUGGGGAUGGACUCGCGGCUUAUCAGCUUGUUGGUGGGGUAGUGGCUUACCAAGGCUUUGACGGGUAGCCGGCCUGAGAGGGUGACCGGCCCCAUUGGGACUGAGAUACGGCCCAGACUCCUACGGGAGGCAGAAGUGGGGAAUAUUGCACAAUGGGCGGAAGCCUGAUGCAGCAACGCCGCGUGCGGGAUGACGGCCUUCGGGUUGUAAACCGCUUUCGCCUGUGACGAAGCGUGAGUGACGGUAAUGGGUAAAGAAGCACCGGCUAACUACGUG
rnacentral:rRNA from 1 species